CAUAUCAAUAAGCGGAGGAAAAGAAACCAACAGGGAUUGCCUCAGUAACGGCGAGUGAAGCGGCAACAGCUCAAAUUUGAAAUCUGGCCUUGUGCCCGAAUUGUAAUUUGUAGAGGAUGCUUUUGGCACGGUACCUUCCGAGUUACCUGGAACGGUUCGCCACAGAGGGUGAGAGCCCCGUAUGGUUGGAUACCUAGCCUUUGUAAAGCUCCUUCGACGAGUCGAGUAGUUUGGGAAUGCUGCUCAAAAUGGGAGGUAAAUUUCUUCUAAAGCUAAAUACCGGCCAGAGACCGAUAGCGCACAAGUAGAGUGAUCGAAAGAUGAAAAGCACUUUGAAAAGAGGGUUAAACAGCACGUGAAAUUGUUGAAAGGGAAGCGCUUAUGACCAGACUUGGGCCUUGAGAAUCAACUGGCGUUCUCGCUAGUGCACUUCACUUGGUUCAGGCCAGCAUCGGUUCUCCGAGGGGGAUAAAAGCUUCAGGAACGUGGCUCUUUCGGGAGUGUUAUAGCCUGUUGCAUAAUACCCUUUAGGGGACCGAGGUACGCGCUCCGCAAGGAUGCUGGCGUAAUGGUCAUCAGCGGCCCGUCUUGAAACACGGACCAAGGAGUCAAGCAUUAGGGCGAGUGUUUGGGUGUUAAACCCGCACGCGUAAUGAAAGUGAAUGUAGGUGAGAGCUUCGGCGCAUCAUCGACCGAUCCUGAUGUUCUCGGAUGGAUUUGAGUAAGAGCCUUACCGCUUGGACCCGAAAGAUGGUGAACUAUGCCUGUAUAGGGUGAAGCCAGAGGAAACUCUGGUGGAGGCUCGCAGCGGUUCUGACGUGCAAAUCGAUCGUCAAAUAUGGGCAUGGGGGCGAAAGACUAAUCGAACUAUCUAGUAGCUGGUUACCGCC
rnacentral:rRNA from 1 species